rnacentral:rRNA from 1 species
AAACAUCGCCUCUUGAGGCUGUAACAUAAGAGGUCCUGCCUGCCAUGUGACUAUAAGUUUAACGGCCGCGGUAUUUUGACCGUGCGAAGGUAGCGCAAUCACUUGUCUUUUAAAUGGAGACCUGUAUGAAUGGCACGACGAGGGCUGAACUGUCUCCUAUCUCUAACCAGUGAAAUUGAUCUCCCCGUGCAGAAGCGGGGAUACCAGCAUAAGACGAGAAGACCCCAUGGAGCUUAAGACACUAGGUAGCCCAUUUUAAGUAACUCAUUUUAAUUGGGGAUGAGUUUAUGGUAAACUCUCCUACUUGUUUUCGGUUGGGGCGACCACGGGGGAGAAUAUAGCCCCCAUGUGGAUAGGGAGUAUAACUUUUACAAUUGAGAUUAACAGGUCUAGAUUACAGAAAUUUUGACCAAAGUGAUCCGGCUAUU